UACGUAGGGUGCAAGCGUUAAUCGGAAUUACUGGGCGUAAAGCGUGCGCAGGCUGUUCUGUAAGUCAGAUGUGAAAUCCCCGAGCUCAACUUGGGAACUGCGUUUGAAACUACAGGACUAGAAUAUGUCGAGAGGGGGGUAGAAUUCCACGUGUAGCAGUGAAAUGCGUAGAGAUGUGGAGGAAUACCAAUGGCGAAGGCCAGCCCCCUGGGAUAAUAUUGACGCUCAUG
rnacentral:rRNA from 1 species